rnacentral:rRNA from 2 species
UGGUGCUUGCAUCAUGAUUUACAUUUGAGUGAGUGGCGAACUGGUGAGUAACACGUGGGAAACCUGCCCAGAAGCGGGGGAUAACACCUGGAAACAGAUGCUAAUACCGCAUAACAACUUGGACCGCAUGGUCCGAGCUUGAAAGAUGGCUUCGGCUAUCACUUUUGGAUGGUCCCGCGGCGUAUUAGCUAGAUGGUGGGGUAACGGCUCACCAUGGCAAUGAUACGUAGCCGACCUGAGAGGGUAAUCGGCCACAUUGGGACUGAGACACGGCCCAAACUCCUACGGGAGGCAGCAGUAGGGAAUCUUCCACAAUGGACGAAAGUCUGAUGGAGCAACGCCGCGUGAGUGAAGAAGGGUUUCGGCUCGUAAAACUCUGUUGUUAAAGAAGAACAUAUCUGAGAGUAACUGUUCAGGUAUUGACGGUAUUUAACCAGAAAGCCACGGCUAACUACGUGCCAGCAGCCGCGGUAAUACGUAGGUGGCAAGCGUUGUCCGGAUUUAUUGGGCGUAAAGCGAGCGCAGGCGGUUUUUUAAGUCUGAUGUGAAAGCCUUCGGCUCAACCGAAGAAGUGCAUCGGAAACUGGGAAACUUGAGUGCAGAAGAGGACAGUGGAACUCCAUGUGUAGCGGUGAAAUGCGUAGAUAUAUGGAAGAACACCAGUGGCGAAGGCGGCUGUCUGGUCUGUAACUGACGCUGAGGCUCGAAAGUAUGGGUAGCAAACAGGAUUAGAUACCCUGGUAGUCCAUACCGUAAACGAUGAAUGCUAAGUGUUGGAGGGUUUCCGCCCUUCAGUGCUGCAGCUAACGCAUUAAGCAUUCCGCCUGGGGAGUACGGCCGCAAGGCUGAAACUCAAAGGAAUUGACGGGGGCCCGCACAAGCGGUGGAGCAUGUGGUUUAAUUCGAAGCUACGCGAAGAACCUUACCAGGUCUUGACAUACUAUGCAAAUCUAAGAGAUUAGACGUUCCCUUCGGGGACAUGGAUACAGGUGGUGCAUGGUUGUCGUCAGCUCGUGUCGUGAGAUGUUGGGUUAAGUCCCGCAACGAGCGCAACCCUUAUUAUCAGUUGCCAGCAUUAAGUUGGGCACUCUGGUGAGACUGCCGGUGACAAACCGGAGGAAGGUGGGGAUGACGUCAAAUCAUCAUGCCCCUUAUGACCUGGGCUACACACGUGCUACAAUGGAUGGUACAACGAGUUGCGAACUCGCGAGAGUAAGCUAAUCUCUUAAAGCCAUUCUCAGUUCGGAUUGUAGGCUGCAACUCGCCUACAUGAAGUCGGAAUCGCUAGUAAUCGCGGAUCAGCAUGCCGCGGUGAAUACGUUCCCGGGCCUUGUACACACCGCCCGUCACACCAUGAGAGUUUGUAACACCCAA